UUAAGCGACUAAGCGUACACGGUGGAUGCCCUGGCAGUCAGAGGCGAUGAAGGACGUGCUAAUCUGCGAAAAGCGUCGGUAAGGUGAUAUGAACCGUUACAGCCGGCGAUGUCCGAAUGGGGAAACCCAGUGCAAUUCGUUGCACUAUCGUUAACUGAAUACAUAGGUUAACGAGGCGAACCGGGGGAACUGAAACAUCUAAGUACCCCGAGGAAAAGAAAUCAACCGAGAUUCCCCCAGUAGCGGCGAGCGAACGGGGAGCAGCCCAGAGUCUGAAUCAGCUUGUGUGUUAGUGGAACGGUCUGGAAAGUCCGACGGUACAGGGUGAUAGUCCCGUACACCAAAAUGCACAGGYUGUGAACUCGAAGAGUAGGGCGGGACACGUGGUAUCCUGUCUGAAUAUGGGGGGACCAUCCUCCAAGGCUAAAUACUCCUGACUGACCGAUAGUGAACCAGUACCGUGAGGGAAAGGCGAAAAGAACCCCGGCGAGGGGAGUGAAAAAGAACCUGAAACCGUGUACGUACAAGCAGUGGGAGCACCUUCGGGUGUGACUGCGUACCUUUUGUAUAAUGGGUCAGCGACUUAUAUUCUGUAGCAAGGUUAACCGUAUAGGGGAGCCGCAGGGAAACCGAGUCUUAACUGGGCGUUAAGUUGCAGGGUAUAGACCCGAAACCCGGUGAUCUAGCCAUGGGCAGGUUGAAGGUUGGGUAACACUAACUGGAGGACCGAACCGACUAAUGUUGAAAAAUUAGCGGAUGACUUGUGGCUGGGGGUGAAAGGCCAAUCAAACCGGGAGAUAGCUGGUUCUCCCCGAAAGCUAUUUAGGUAGCGCCUCGUGAAYUCAUCUUCGGGGGUAGAGCACUGUUUCGGCUAGGGGGUCAUCCCGACUUACCAACCCGAUGCAAACUACGAAUACCGAAGAAUGUUAUCACGGGAGACACACGGCGGGUGCUAACGUCCGUCGUGAAGAGGGAAACAACCCAGACCGCCAGCUAAGGUCCCAAAGUCAUGGUUAAGUGGGAAACGAUGUGGGAAGGCACAGACAGCCAGGAUGUUGGCUUAGAAGCAGCCAUCAUUUAAAGAAAGCGUAAUAGCUCACUGGUCGAGUCGGCCUGCGCGGAAGAUGUAACGGGGCUAAACCAUGCACCGAAGCUGCGGCAGCGACACUAUGUGUUGUUGGGUAGGGGAGCGUUCUGUAAGCCUGCGAAGGUGUGCUGUGAGGCAUGCUGGAGGUAUCAGAAGUGCGAAUGCUGACAUAAGUAACGAUAAAGCGGGUGAAAAGCCCGCUCGCCGGAAGACCAAGGGUUCCUGUCCAACGUUAAUCGGGGCAGGGUGAGUCGACCCCUAAGGCGAGGCCGAAAGGCGUAGUCGAUGGGAAACAGGUUAAUAUUCCUGUACUUGGUGUUACUGCGAAGGGGGGACGGAGAAGGCUAUGUUAGCCGGGCGACGGUUGUCCCGGUUUAAGCAUGUAGGCUGGUUGUCCAGGCAAAUCCGGAUAAUCAAGGCUGAGGUGUGAUGACGAGGYACUACGGUGCUGAAGUAACAAAUGCCCUGCUUCCAGGAAAAGCCUCUAAGCAUCAGGUAACAUYAAAUCGUACCCCAAACCGACACAGGUGGUCAGGUAGAGAAUACCAAGGCGCUUGAGAGAACUCGGGUGAAGGAACUAGGCAAAAUGGUGCCGUAACUUCGGGAGAAGGCACGCUGGUGUGUAGGUGAAGUCCCUGCGGAUGGAGCUGAGACCAGUCGAAGAUACCAGCUGGCUGCAACUGUUUAUUAAAAACACAGCACUGUGCAAACACGAAAGUGGACGUAUACGGUGUGACGCCUGCCCGGUGCCGGAAGGUUAAUUGAUGGGGUUAUCCGUAAGGAGAAGCUCUUGAUCGAAGCCCCGGUAAACGGCGGCCGUAACUAUAACGGUCCUAAGGUAGCGAAAUUCCUUGUCGGGUAAGUUCCGACCUGCACGAAUGGCGUAAUGAUGGCCAGGCUGUCUCCACCCGAGACUCAGUGAAAUUGAACUCGCUGUGAAGAUGCAGUGUACCCGCGGCAAGACGGAAAGACCCCGUGAACCUUUACUAUAGCUUGACACUGAACAUUGAGCCUUGAUGUGUAGGAUAGGUGGGAGGCUUUGAAGCGUGGACGCCAGUCUGCGUGGAGCCAACCUUGAAAUACCACCCUUUAAUGUUUGAUGUUCUAACGUUGGCCCCUUACCGGGGUUGCGGACAGUGUCUGGUGGGUAGUUUGACUGGGGCGGUCUCCUCCCAAAGCGUAACGGAGGAGCACGAAGGUUAGCUAAUCCUGGUCGGACAUCAGGAGGUUAGUGCAAUGGCAUAAGCUAGCUUGACUGCGAGCGUGACGGCGCGAGCAGGUGCGAAAGCAGGUCAUAGUGAUCCGGUGGUUCUGAAUGGAAGGGCCAUCGCUCAACGGAUAAAAGGUACUCCGGGGAUAACAGGCUGAUACCGCCCAAGAGUUCAUAUCGACGGCGGUGUUUGGCACCUCGAUGUCGGCUCAUCACAUCCUGGGGCUGAAGUAGGUCCCAAGGGUAUGGCUGUUCGCCAUUUAAAGUGGUACGCGAGCUGGGUUUAGAACGUCGUGAGACAGUUCGGUCCCUAUCUGCCGUGGGCGCUGGAGAAUUGAGGGGGGCUGCUCCUAGUACGAGAGGACCGGAGUGGACGCAUCACUGGUGUUCGGGUUGUCAUGCCAAUGGCACUGCCCGGUAGCUAAAUGCGGAAGAGAUAAGUGCUGAAAGCAUCUAAGCACGAAACUUGCCCCGAGAUGAGUUCUCCCUGAGACUUUAAGUCUCCUGAAGGAACGUUAAAGACGAUGACGUUGAUAGGCCGGGUGUGUAAGCGCAGCGAUGCGUUGAGCUAAYCGGUACUAAUGAACCGUGAGGCUUAACCU
rnacentral:rRNA from 1 species